rnacentral:rRNA from 1 species
CAUGUCGAGCGAGAACGGGGAGCAAUCCCUUAGUAAAGCGGCACACGGGUCAGUAAUGCGUGGACAACUUGCCCUCGAGACAGGGAUAACGACGGGAAACUGUCGCUAAUACCGGAUGGCCUCGCGGACCGGCAUCGGACUGCGAGUAAAGGUGGGGACCCUUCGGGGCCUGCUGCUCGAGGAGAGGUUCACGACCUAUCAGCUAGUUGGCGAGGUAACGGCUCACCAAGGCGACGACGGGUAGGCGGGCUGAGAGGCUGACCGCCGACACUGGGACUGAGAACUGCCCAGACUCCUACGGGAGGCUGCAGUCGAGAAUCUUCCGCAAUGGACGCAAGUCUGACGGAGCGACGCCGCGUGCGGGAUGAAGGUCUUUGGAUUGUAAACCGCUGUCACGCGUUAUGAAUGCGCAGCAGCGAAUACCUGCUGCGUUGACAAAGGCGCGAGAGGAAGCCACGGCUAACUCUGUGCCAGCAGCCGCGGUAAUACAGAGGUGGCAAGCGUUGCUCGGUAUCACUGGGCUUAAAGGGCGCGUAGGCGGUGCGGUACGGUUUCAGUGAAAUCCCUCGGCCCAACCGAGGAACAGCUGGGGCUACGGCCGCACUAGACGGCAUCAGGGGACAGUGGAACUCCCGGUGGAGCGGUGAAAUGCGUAGAUAUCGGGAGGAACGCCGGUGGCGAAAGCGACUGUCUGGGGUGCCUGUGACGCUGAGGCGCGAAAGCCAGGGGAUCAAAUGGGAUUAGAUACCCCGGUAGUCCUGGCCCUAAACGAUGCGCACUAGGUAGCGGGAGGUUCCGACUUCCCGCUGCCGGAGUAAAAAUCUUAAGUGCGCCGCCUGGGGAGUACGGCCGCAAGGUUAAAACUCAAAGGAAUUGACGGGGGCUCACACAAGCGGUGGA